rnacentral:lncRNA from 1 species
UAGAUAUAGAAAAUUAGGCCUCCAAAAACCAACUUCCAAGAGAUUCCUCUGAGAAGCUUCGCCAUGAGAAACAAGAUCAGCUGGCACUGCACUCAUUAAAAUGGGACAUUCUGAUAAGGACCUCAACGUCUCAUAGGAAGAAGUGGAGAGAGAAUAAGCCCAGGAAAUUGGGAGGAUCUGUUCAGCAGAGCUACAUGAAAGCCCUGACCGAGGCCAUUUGCUCCUUCCGGUAUUCCAUGCCAGUAAGCAGAGCCAG